rnacentral:rRNA from 1 species
UGGGGGAUAUUGCACAAUGGGCGAAAGCCUGAUGCAGCGACGCCGCGUGGGGGAUGAAGGCUUUCGGGUUGUAAACCUCUUUCGCUAUCGAACAAGGCCCGCUUAGGGUGGGUUGAGGGUAGGUGGAGAAGAAGCGCCGGCUAACUACGUGCCAGCAGCCGCGGUAAUACGUAGGGCGCGAGCGUUGUCCGGAAUUAUUGGGCGUAAAGGGCUUGUAGGCGGCUUGUUGCGCCUGCUGUGAAAACGCGGGGCUUAACUUCGCGCGUGCAGUGGGUACGGGCAGGCUUGAGUGUGGUAGGGGUGACUGGAAUUCCAGGUGUAGCGGUGGAAUGCGCAGAUAUCUGGAGGGACAGCGAUGGCGAAGGCAGGUCACUGGGCCAUUACUGACGCUGAGGAGCGAAAGCAUGGGUAGCGAACAGG